UCAGCCUCUUUCCCCAGCCAUCCCUGUCAUC
rnacentral:piRNA from 1 species